GGCUGAAAUUCGCCUUCAUGAAGUCGGAAUUGCUAGUAAUGGCAGGUCAGCAUACUGCCGUGAAUACGUUCCCGGGCCUUGCACACACCGCCCGUCACACCAUGAGAGUUAGGAAUACCCGAAGCCUGUGAGCCAACUUUUAAAGAGGCAGCAGUCGAAGGUAGAAUAAUGAUUGGGGUGAAGUCGUAACAAGGUAUC
rnacentral:rRNA from 1 species